GAUUUCAUGGAUUCAAUUUAAUCAAUCAAUGAAAAAUAAAAACAAAUGCAAUCCAUCCUUCCUCCUCCAAGACUUUCAUUUUUCAAAAUGUCAUGAGUCUCCGACUGCAUCGCAGUAAUUGUUUCAGUCGCUGCCUGCUUUUUGUCUCCAGAUCAUGCAAGAGAAUGCUACAAAACAAGCCGUUUUUAUUGUUACCAUAUAACAGAAUACGUCUGGAGGAGGCUACCGCCACACAUGACUCAAAAUAUAAUUUAUUAGGAAAAUCGACAUUAUUAUCUGAUGCUAGAAUAGUUAAUAUUAAAACAACCAGCUGUAUAAAAGUUAUAGAUAGAAUGUAAGCAUAGAGAAUAAACCAAAUACAUCUCUAGAAAGAAGAAUCCUAAAAAAUCGAAAUUUGGUGAGUUACAAAACCUGCGUCAAUGUCAACAAAAGGACUUUUUAUGAUUGAAACACACCUGGGGUGACGCCUCCGCCUUUCGUUUUGAUUUCAUCAUAGCUGGGUCUGAUUUGCGUUAAAUCUGGCACAACUAGACUGUACAGAGGGCCGUCCUCUGAUGAGUCCUCUUCAGCGUUAAAAAGUAGCUUUGUUUCUUUCAUAAGACAUUUCAAAAUCUACAGAAAUAAGGAAGAGAAAAAUUAGAUUACGGCAAGUGAACUUGGCAAGUAACUUUUGCAGGUUCAAAUUACAAAUUCAAUCUUUUCAAUCCUCUGAAAAUGUGGAAUAUGAUCAUCAACCGGAAAAGGAACUUUUGAAAAUAGAGACAAAAAAAAAAAAAA